AAGUCGAGCGAACGGACGAGAAGCUUGCUUCUCUGAUGUUAGCGGCGGACGGGUGAGUAACACGUGGAUAACCUACCUAUAAGACUGGGAUAACUUCGGGAAACCGGAGCUAAUACCGGAUAAUAUUUUGAACCGCAUGGUUCAAAAGUGAAAGACGGUCUUGCUGUCACUUAUGGAUGGACCCGCGUCGCAUUAGCUAGUUGGUGAGGUAACGGCUCACCAAGGCAACGAUGCGUAGCCGACCUGAGAGGGUGAUCGGCCACACUGGGACUGAGACACGGCCCAGACUCCUACGGGAGGCAGCAGUAGGGAAUCUUCCGCAAUGGACGAAAGUCUGACGGAGCAACGCCGCGUGAGUGAUGAAGGCUUUCGGGUCGUAAAACUCUGUUGUUAGGGAAGAACAAGUGCUAGUUGAAUAAGCUGGCACCUUGACGGUACCUAACCAGAAAGCCACGGCUAACUACGUGCCAGCAGCCGCGGUAAUACGUAGGUGGCAAGCGUUAUCCGGAAUUAUUGGGCGUAAAGCGCGCGCAGGUGGUUUCUUAAGUCUGAUGUGAAAGCCCACGGCUCAACCGUGGAGGGUCAUUGGAAACUGGGAGACUUGAGUGCAGAAGAGGAAAGUGGAAUUCCAUGUGUAGCGGUGAAAUGCGUAGAGAUAUGGAGGAACACCAGUGGCGAAGGCGACUUUCUGGUCUGUAACUGACACUGAGGCGCGAAAGCGUGGGGAGCAAG
rnacentral:rRNA from 1 species